rnacentral:rRNA from 1 species
AAGGGUCCGUAGGCGGUUUGGUAAGUCAGUGGUGAAAGCCCAUCGCUUAACGAUGGAACGGCCAUUGAUACUGCCAGACUUGAAUUACUAGGAAGUAACUAGGAAUAUGUAGUGUAGCGGUGAAAUGCUUAGAUAUUACAUGGAAUACCAAUUGCGAAGGCAGGUUACUACUAGUGGAUUGACGCUGAUGGACGAAAGCGUGGGGAGCGAACAGGAUUAGAUACCCUUGU